rnacentral:tRNA from 1 species
GGAGGGGACAGCUCAGUGGUAGAGCACGUGCUUAGCAUGCACGAGGUCCUGGGUUCAAUCCCCAGGACCUCCU